CUGGAAUCAUAUCUUAACCCUAAACUGUCAGCUGAAAAGCGAAACGCUUCUCUCUUGCUAUUAUUUCUGCUGAAAAGAAGCGUGGGGAGUCUAAACAAGUUAUUGGAGGAUGAGAUACUGAAAAUGCUGCCCUCCAAGCGCAUGUCCAGUGGGAGAGGAGGAUAGUGGUAUAAGCUGGUUAUAGCAGCUUGCUGCCAGGGGGACAAAACUACAAUCCGCUUUCUCCACCCAAAGAAGCUGUCAGAGGGAUCAUUGUGUGAUGCAAGAAUUACCAGAGCUAUUCAGUGACCAAGCACCUACUAAAUCCAGUGCUGCCUUAUCUCAAGGCAAACCCUUUGAAAGCCUCACAGUUCAGGAAACAGCAAGUAGGAGUACUAGGGAGAGAGUAAGGAGAUUCACUUCAUCCAUGCCCACCUUCAGGAAGGGGGAAUACCAUUGAUGCCUGGUGUGCUUCAUUUCCCCCUGAAGGAUGGACUCCAGUGCAGCUGUAAGAAUGGUAGUGGAAGGAGUGAAAGAAUAUCAGACCUGAAGCAGUUAUGAAGAUGAAGGCUAAGACUAGAGAAAUAUGGGGGCAUAAAGAAUCCAGGAAAUCACCAUGAGAGCAAAUGGACUCUGCGCU
ensembl:lncRNA